rnacentral:tRNA from 1 species
AGCUUAGUUGGUAAAGCGCUCGUCUAGCAUGCAAGAGUCCUGGGUUCAAAUCCCAG